ACAGUCUGAAAAUUACCCCAGGUGUCCUAGUUGCGUGAGGUAAGAUAACUGUGCCAACAGAAAAAUGGUAUAUUAAGCUUAUUGCUUGCUUCUAUAGCAGUGCAAUGAAACCCAUAUGCCCACAGAU